rnacentral:lncRNA from 1 species
AUCCCUGAUUAGUCCUGAUGGAUGGCUCUGGGAGUUUAGCAUGUCAUGUAACUGCUCAGGGACAGGCGACCAGAUUAUCUGACUGUUAAAAGUAAAAACACCAACAAGGGAUGCUCAGGGUUCCUCAUCACACACGAAGAGAGGAGAAGCAGCAUCCUUGGUGGAUCACAUCUACUAUGAUCUGGAAACAUCUGGGUGCCAAGGAGCAAAAUAAUCCAGCACAGAAGGCUCCAAGCCCCACAAUGGAAAUAAGCGCCUGUCAGCAGAAGGACACUCGCAGUUGCCUGUCCACCCACCCGGGGUUGCUGGCACCGUGGCCAGGACAAAUGUCUGCUUUGGAGAUGGGAUCUGGAGAUGAAGAAUAAUAAUAAAUUGAGGCAUAGCUUUGGAAGGAAACACCAAAAGCAGGGAGACCACCAGCUCACUGCAAGGAACAUUCAUGGUUAAGGAAAGAAAAUCUGCAAGGGUCAGUAGGGCUGGAAAAUUCUGGAAGACAAGAGGAUGGAAAAGGAGAGCAAGAGUAGAAAGAAGCCAUGGAGGCAGAAGAUGAAGAGAUUAG